rnacentral:rRNA from 1 species
CCUACGGGGGGCAGCAGUCGAGAAUCAUUCACAAUGGGGGAAACCCUGAUGGUGCGACGCCGCGUGGGGGAAUGAAGGUCUUCGGAUUGUAAACCCCUGUCAUGUGGGAGCAAAUUAAAAAGAUAGUACCACAAGAGGAAGAGACGGCUAACUCUGUGCCAGCAGCCGCGGUAAUACAGAGGUCUCAAGCGUUGUUCGGAAUCACUGGGCGUAAAGCGUGCGUAGGCUGUUGCGUAAGUCGUGUGUGAAAGGCGCGGGCUCAACCCGCGGACGGCAGAUGAUACUGCGAGACUAGAGUAGUGGAGGGGGAACCGGAAUUCUCGGUGUAGCAGUGAAAUGCGUAGAUAUCGAGAGGAACACUCGUGGCGAAGGCGGGUUCCUGGACAUUAACUGACGCUGAGGCACGAAGGCCAGGGGAGCGAAAGGGAUUAGAUACCCGGGUAGUC